rnacentral:rRNA from 1 species
CUCUACACCCUUUGUGACAUACCUUUAACUGUUGCUUCGGCGGGUGGCGGCCUCGCGGCCGCCCCCGGCCCCGCUCACGCGGGGCGCCCGCCGGAGGUCCACCAAACUCUGAUUUAACGACGUUUCUUCUGAGUGGCACAAGCAAAUAAUCAAAACUUUUAACAACGGAUCUCUUGGUUCUGGCAUCGAUGAAGAACGCAGCGAAAUGCGAUAAGUAAUGUGAAUUGCAGAAUUCAGUGAAUCAUCGAAUCUUUGAACGCACAUUGCGCCCGCCAGCAUUCUGGCGGGCAUGCCUGUUCGAGCGUCAUUUCAACCCUCAAGCACCGCUUGGUUUUGGGGCCCUACGGCUGACGUAGGCCCUUAAAGGUAGUGGCGGACCCUCCCGGAGCCUCCUUUGCGUAGUAACUUAACGUCUCGCACUGGGAUCCGGAGGGACUCUUGCCGUAAAACCCCCCAAUUUUUACAAGGUUGACCUCGGAUCAGGUAGGAAUACCCGCUGAACUUAAGCAUAUCAAUAAGCGGAGGAA